rnacentral:lncRNA from 1 species
ACCUCUUGAAUUGAAAAUUUGUUCAUUCUAAGCUCGUGUGUCUCCAAAGAAGCCAUUAGUUCAUGAAAACUUAAAGAGGAUAAAUCUUUAGACUCUUCAAUCGCAACAACAACAUGAUCCCAUUUUGCAGGAAGACUACGUAAUAUUUUUUCAACAAUUUUCUUCUCUUUAAUUUCAUCUCCAUAACUUUUAAUUUGAUU